UUAAGCGACUAAGCGUACACGGUGGAUGCCCUGGCAGUCAGAGGCGAUGAAGGACGUGCUAAUCUGCGAAAAGCGUCGGUAAGGUGAUAUGAACCGUUAUAACCGGCGAUGUCCGAAUGGGGAAACCCAGUGUGAUUCGUCACACUAUCGUUAACUGAAUACAUAGGUUAACGAGGCGAACCGGGGGAACUGAAACAUCUAAGUACCCCGAGGAAAAGAAAUCAACCGAGAUUCCCCCAGUAGCGGCGAGCGAACGGGGAGCAGCCCAGAGUCUGAAUCAGCUUGUGUGUUAGUGGAACGGUCUGGAAAGUCCGACGGUACAGGGUGAUAGUCCCGUACACCAAAAUGCACAGGUUGUGAACUCGAAGAGUAGGGCGGGACACGUGGUAUCCUGUCUGAAUAUGGGGGGACCAUCCUCCAAGGCUAAAUACUCCUGACUGACCGAUAGUGAACCAGUACCGUGAGGGAAAGGCGAAAAGAACCCCGGCGAGGGGAGUGAAAAAGAACCUGAAACCGUGUACGUACAAGCAGUGGGAGCACCUUCGGGUGUGACUGCGUACCUUUUGUAUAAUGGGUCAGCGACUUAUAUUCUGUAGCAAGGUUAACCGUAUAGGGGAGCCGCAGGGAAACCGAGUCUUAACUGGGCGUUAAGUUGCAGGGUAUAGACCCGAAACCCGGUGAUCUAGCCAUGGGCAGGUUGAAGGUUGGGUAACACUAACUGGAGGACCGAACCGACUAAUGUUGAAAAAUUAGCGGAUGACUUGUGGCUGGGGGUGAAAGGCCAAUCAAACCGGGAGAUAGCUGGUUCUCCCCGAAAGCUAUUUAGGUAGCGCCUCGUGAACUCAUCUUCGGGGGUAGAGCACUGUUUCGGCUAGGGGGUCAUCCCGACUUACCAACCCGAUGCAAACUACGAAUACCGAAGAAUGUUAUCACGGGAGACACACGGCGGGUGCUAACGUCCGUCGUGAAGAGGGAAACAACCCAGACCGCCAGCUAAGGUCCCAAAGUCAUGGUUAAGUGGGAAACGAUGUGGGAAGGCACAGACAGCCAGGAUGUUGGCUUAGAAGCAGCCAUCAUUUAAAGAAAGCGUAAUAGCUCACUGGUCGAGUCGGCCUGCGCGGAAGAUGUAACGGGGCUAAACCAUGCACCGAAGCUGCGGCAGCGACACUAUGUGUUGUUGGGUAGGGGAGCGUUCUGUAAGCCUGCGAAGGUGUGCUGUGAGGCAUGCUGGAGGUAUCAGAAGUGCGAAUGCUGACAUAAGUAACGAUAAAGCGGGUGAAAAGCCCGCUCGCCGGAAGACCAAGGGUUCCUGUCCAACGUUAAUCGGGGCAGGGUGAGUCGACCCCUAAGGCGAGGCCGAAAGGCGUAGUCGAUGGGAAACAGGUUAAUAUUCCUGUACUUGGUGUUACUGCGAAGGGGGGACGGAGAAGGCUAUGUUAGCCGGGCGACGGUUGUCCCGGUUUAAGCAUGUAGGCUGAUUGUCCAGGCAAAUCCGGAUAAUCAAGGCUGAGGUGUGAUGACGAGGCACUACGGUGCUGAAGUAACAAAUGCCCUGCUUCCAGGAAAAGCCUCUAAGCAUCAGGUAACAUCAAAUCGUACCCCAAACCGACACAGGUGGUCAGGUAGAGAAUACCAAGGCGCUUGAGAGAACUCGGGUGAAGGAACUAGGCAAAAUGGUGCCGUAACUUCGGGAGAAGGCACGCUGGUGUGUAGGUGAAGUCCCUGCGGAUGGAGCUGAGACCAGUCGAAGAUACCAGCUGGCUGCAACUGUUUAUUAAAAACACAGCACUGUGCAAACACGAAAGUGGACGUAUACGGUGUGACGCCUGCCCGGUGCCGGAAGGUUAAUUGAUGGGGUUAUCCGUAAGGAGAAGCUCUUGAUCGAAGCCCCGGUAAACGGCGGCCGUAACUAUAACGGUCCUAAGGUAGCGAAAUUCCUUGUCGGGUAAGUUCCGACCUGCACGAAUGGCGUAAUGAUGGCCAGGCUGUCUCCACCCGAGACUCAGUGAAAUUGAACUCGCUGUGAAGAUGCAGUGUACCCGCGGCAAGACGGAAAGACCCCGUGAACCUUUACUAUAGCUUGACACUGAACAUUGAGCCUUGAUGUGUAGGAUAGGUGGGAGGCUUUGAAGCGUGGACGCCAGUCUGCGUGGAGCCAACCUUGAAAUACCACCCUUUAAUGUUUGAUGUUCUAACGUUGGCCCCUUACCGGGGUUGCGGACAGUGUCUGGUGGGUAGUUUGACUGGGGCGGUCUCCUCCCAAAGCGUAACGGAGGAGCACGAAGGUUAGCUAAUCCUGGUCGGACAUCAGGAGGUUAGUGCAAUGGCAUAAGCUAGCUUGACUGCGAGCGUGACGGCGCGAGCAGGUGCGAAAGCAGGUCAUAGUGAUCCGGUGGUUCUGAAUGGAAGGGCCAUCGCUCAACGGAUAAAAGGUACUCCGGGGAUAACAGGCUGAUACCGCCCAAGAGUUCAUAUCGACGGCGGUGUUUGGCACCUCGAUGUCGGCUCAUCACAUCCUGGGGCUGAAGUAGGUCCCAAGGGUAUGGCUGUUCGCCAUUUAAAGUGGUACGCGAGCUGGGUUUAGAACGUCGUGAGACAGUUCGGUCCCUAUCUGCCGUGGGCGCUGGAGAAUUGAGGGGGGCUGCUCCUAGUACGAGAGGACCGGAGUGGACGCAUCACUGGUGUUCGGGUUGUCAUGCCAAUGGCACUGCCCGGUAGCUAAAUGCGGAAGAGAUAAGUGCUGAAAGCAUCUAAGCACGAAACUUGCCCCGAGAUGAGUUCUCCCUGAGACUUUAAGUCUCCUGAAGGAACGUUGAAGACGACGACGUUGAUAGGCCGGGUGUGUAAGCGCAGCGAUGCGUUGAGCUAACCGGUACUAAUGAACCGUGAGGCUUAACCUU
rnacentral:rRNA from 2 species